CCCCUUAGCCACACCCCCUGUCCGGGCGCUUUCCCAUUCACGGAAUUCGAGUACAGUAAAAGCCAUCAGGAUGACACACGCGAAAAACAUUUAAUUAAAGGCGAUUUCUGAAGAGUGACCACGCCGAACUGCGGUUUGAGCUAGAGGGGGGCAGUAAGGCUGGGGCGAAAGGAAAGGGGAUGAGGGCUGUGGGCCGGACCUGCAGCUAGAUCGGUGGUAUUAAUGAUGGCUGGUGUCAUUCAGUCCCAUCUUUACAGCACAAUGAAAACCAGAAAAAAAAGACAGGCAAGAGGCAACAUGGGAAGUAAGAAUGAAGCGGAAAAAAACCACAGCGAAUCUUUAAUUUAACAAGGCUUUCAGAGACUUCAGGGAGCCAUGAGCGUUGUGACAUAACUGUUGUUAAAAAACCCUUUUUCAGAAUCUCGUUAUUAUAUGCAUGCCGGAAGCUUACAUAUUUUACUUCAGUAAAGUUAUCCUCACAGGGCUGGAUUCCAUGCACUGGGUUUGCAACACCAGUGCAGAAGGUUGAAGGCUUUUAGAGCAAGCUGACCUAAGGGAAAAAUCGAAGCCAAAAGAUGGGAUUAACAUUGAAAAAAAAGCUCGGUUGGGUUGAGAUCGAACCCCUGGAAGAUUGGCUUAGAUUGACUUAAAAUCAGUUAACAGGGCCUACAAUUUAUUUGUAGCCCUGAGGACUUCUAGAACCACAAAACUCUUUGACUGUGAAAGUAUGUCCCCUCCUCUCUUCCCUUUAAUCUCAGGUGAAUCACUUUCUAGUAGGUUCUCUCCCUUAGCAAGUUAGCACCCUUUCUAGAGAUGGAUUCUCAGAUCAACUUUUCCGGCAUGAAUCUGACUUCUCUACAGUGAAUAAAUGAAGCCCUAUAGUUUGAAAGUGCUCCUGACUGGGAGGAAAUCCUUUGCCACAGGGACGAAGUGAUUAUUUCUUAAACCGAGGGACUUUAAUUUUCCGGUAAAUUGCUCAUAAAAACAUUUAUAAUUAUACGCUUUAAAAAUGUAAUAGAAUAAUUUUAGAAAAUGCAUUUCAUGAUAGUUAUGAUAACCUUUUCUGUUGCUCCCCCCCCUUCUUUCUUAAAAAAAGAAUUGAAUUAUUAAUCUAGAAUUCAAGUCUUGAGUGGCUAAAACAUUUAUAGCAGACUCUUUUUAUGUUAGUCACCUGCUGGAAUUUUCCAAAACCUACAGGCAUGAUGUGGAGCCCUUGACUUUAGAAAAUGUCUCUGUUUCUGAAACUGAAGCUUGGAUGAAGCCUGCACUGAUGCCCCCUCAGAAUGAGACCCUUCUGCUUGUGUGUUUGGGGCAGCAGAGGUGGGAGCACACAGCACAUGGCCCCUCGUUCCACAUAGACUCCUGAAGUGGGACACAAGGAGGCCUGAGAAUGGGAACCGUGAUAGCCAGGCCUUGUGAUGACAGUGGUCUGAGGAGUUUGAUGACAGCUGAAUCUCUUUGGAAGCAAACUGAAUACUCUAUGGACCUGAUCUUUGGAAUGCCAGUAAGACCAGCCCUUGGCCAAUCUUCUUGUCACUUCUGAGUUAAGAUGUACUUUUUCUCCAGAUUCCUUGUUGUGGUUGUUUUCCCCCCCUGUAGGAACUUGUAGUGUAAUGUUAGCAGGACAGAUUGAGUUGGGUGUUAUUGAAAAUUCUCUUGGUGUGGUGUGAACUCUCUGGGCUACUUUUUUUGAGAGUACUUUCCCUUUCCCCUCCAUCUUCCUAGUCCACUUGAUGAAUUAUGAUUAUUAUUUUAAGUUUUUGUACGUACUUCUGCAUCUGAGAAAGCAAAAACACCUAAUUGCAUUUCAGGCAUCUGGGAAAAGAGAUGUCAUGUAACUGCCCUGUGUGUGUAUGGUGUGUGUGUGGGGGGGUUAUAAUUAUAUAUCCUAAUAGGAUAUCUGCUGCCCACCCUCUUUGUCUUCCAUGAACCAUGUACAGGGACUUUGAGGUCAGCAUCAUCCAUUCCCUCAUGGAGACUCCUAACCCAUUGAUCCCAGAUUAGUGAUAAAUUCCUCCAGAGCAAAAAGUCCUUUUGAAAGGCCUUCAGUGGUUGGAGCAAACACUAACUUAGAAUGUACAAUCCUUUCUGAAUGUGGAGAUUGUAUUCCUUGGUUUCAGGAAUAGUCUGCUCUUUCUCUUUUCCUCUCCCCCCAUCACUUUCUUACAUUUACCUUUUGUAUCUAAUUCACAAUAGAAAGGGUUACUUUGGAAUUAAGCUGUUAAAUUUUUCACCCAUCUUUGUAGGUUGCUAAAAAAUAAAAUUGUAACAUUUUGAAUUAAUGCUUUAAAAAUCCCAAAUAAUCAGCAUUCAAGUGUUGAUUAAUAUUCAGUAAACCAUGAUUUUUCUGUAAGGGUACCAAGGCAUUACUGAUGAAUUGAUUUUUUUCUGACUAACAGUAGAUUAAUCUGAAAUGGUUUUUUUUUUCUCUUUUCCUUAUUGAAUGUUUUUUAAAGUGUACCGAUCCCCUUUCCUACCCUAGAAAGAACAUUGAGGAUAUAAUUGAAUCUUUCCUUGAGGCUUGAGAAUCUUAUGGUGCCACAGGGUCACUGUUCUGAGUAUGAAUUCUGAUUGUACAUUACAGAACUAUAAAUGGAGACAGUGUCAGAGACUGGACUAAUCUGUCUUGAUCCCAGCAUGAAAAUUGUUUUCUUUUUUUCUUUUCUUUUUGUUAAAUCCUCAGCAGGAAUGUUUUGUUAUUUGCUUCCCUUGUUUUCUAAGUUGCAAGCAGCAAAUUAGAAAUUUCAUUAGUUGAUUCUGGUUAAUUGAGGUUUUCAAUAUAUAGGAAAAUUCCAUCUAGCAUCUAGUCUUCUUAAUUCUUUCUCUAGAGUUAUAGGAGAUGCAAAAUAAUUCUUAAAUAUUCAGGAAGGCUCUUAACACUUACAAUAAGUUAUAUAUUUACUAUAUUACCAUAACAUCAUGUAAUGUUCCCUCUAUGUAAUGGUGGACAGAAAUGCCAGCUAAUUUUACCUCUUCCUUAGGUAGGUUAAAGAGGUAUCUUUGGCAAAGGGGCUCAUGAGUCCCGAGUGUUAGAAAGCUCGAAGGUUAGAAGGAAGAACUUUAAGAAUGUCGUAAAGAACCUUUAGAUUGUGCAGAAGGAAGCUCUACUUCCAAGUUCAGGCCUGGGCUUCAGUUGGCACCACCUACAUGGAAAGCAUCCUUGGAGCCAUACCACGGUCAGAGGCUGGCUUCCUUGGGCUCGUCUCACUUGACCUAAGGAUAGUAUGUGCUUAUAUCUUGGAUGUCACAGUGUAGGGAAUUCAGCUUGGGAGUCUUGGUGUUCUUUUUAGUCAGUAACAACUGACUAUUAUUUGUUGUUGUUGUCAUUGUUGUUGGAACAAAGACAUCAAAUUGUCUACAGAAAUAGGGUGAAAUAGGGUGUGGUGAGGAAUGGGUGUAGCACAGCUUAUCUUUCAGGCAGAGCUGGCUUUUGCUUCAGCUCUUACAUACUGAUGCUAAAAGGAAUUACAGGUAACAAUUCCCUUGUGUUCAUGGAAGAACAGUUUUUUUUUCCCCCUAACAGAUUUUUAUGGCUUUAACUGACAUGUCAUCAUUGUGAACUGUCUUCCCACAUUACAUGCUAUGGCACAUUAACAGUGGCAUGGCAUUGUGGGUUCUUGGUGAUUGGCUUAUCUACUGAACUGGGGCCCUGCUGGCUGGUUGGAGAGCCUUGUGCAGUGCCCAUUGAUGCUGAGGGUUCAGGUUUCAUGUACCUUAAAACAUGGCAGAGGACUCCAGGCUGUCCCAGGGAGAGUUUCUAUAUCAGCAGGUGUGUUUUCUCUGAAACUCCAUCAAAGCUUGGGAAAGAAUAGGAAGUAUUAUGGUAUAGGGGAUUGACAAUCCCUAGCCUUGAAUAUCUUCAUGUUAACGGGUGUUGGCAUUUCCAUCAUGAACUAUCUUCAAGUUUUCUGAAACAAUUAGGGAGUUUCUGCAUGUAUGCACAGACCGUAAUAGGUGAACUCAUUUGGGGUGCAGGAAAAUGUGCCACUUGGUAUUGGAUCCUCAAGCCAGCGCAAGAGGCAAUGCACUGUUAAAAAUACCUAGCUUACUUUCGGGGAGGAUUUGGCUGAAUACUGAUGAAGUUUAUGAAAUAUGAAUGUAGUGAAGUUGCUGUAUGUAAGUGGUAGGUGUGUGUGAAAGGAGUAAGAAGAAAUAAAAUUGUGUAUAAAUGACACUCUGAAACUUGAUGGAAUUGUACACGUGACAAGAAUGGCGACAUUUGGGUCUGUGCUUAACAGGGGGAAAGAAACAGGCUCAAAAUCUAUAUGUCAGUCUACAAGUGGGAUUAAAAAUUAGAGAAUAUAAAAUCAUUUAUAGGCGAAGAAUGCUACCGAGGAUAAACAGACAGGUUGGAAAGAAUAAAGAUGAAAUUUCCAGAGAAGGGGAAAAAUGAUAGAGCAACAUUUGACUCUAUAAUGAGGUAUGUUAAUAGUGUAUUCCACACUAUUAACUAUGGUGCUGUUAGUUGGGGAAGCAGUUAGAACCAAACAAAAGGUAUAACUAAGAAUUUGAGGUUGUGUGGGAGAAAUCCUUUUGAUCCCCCAAACGUGAAUGUAGAUGCUGAGACACCAGGCUGCACGUGAUAUAAUUUUUCCUGUCUCGUCCUGAUUAAUUGACAGCCCACUGUAUGCUUCUUUCCUGAAGGUGACUUUACAAUCUCUAGACACAGACAUUUCCCUCCGAAGUGGAGUGAAGGAAGGAGAACCACAGCUAAAGUGUGUCUCACCGGGUGAAGUAUUUGGGGGAAAGAUAAGAGUGGUGUCAGGGGAAGGGAGUAGUGUACACAGAGAUUAAGAAGGCCUGUUUGGGGCUGGGGAGCGGGGGGGCCCGUGGAUGAAGGCAGGGGAUCUCUAGAGGGUAAAGAGACUUCUGUGCAAAAGAAAAUGAAAUUAGCAUUGACUCUGAAAUGGCUGGGAAUGUGACUUUCUAAUUUUAAAUUAUCUUUAACAAGGGCAAUGAAAAGAGGAAAGUUGACACUUUUGAGAAGUUAUGACGAACUUGUCGAGAAUGCCAAUUGACAAAGGCAGGUAAGGGAAUACUUGGAAAAACAGCAAGAACAGGUUGAAGGGCACGCUGAUCUGCUUACCGGGAUGGUGAAGGAAUUGGUGGGCGUGUUUAUUGACUCUUCCAAUUAGUUUUCAAGAGACCUGAAGAAAUGGACAGAGAUGGAGUAAAAGGCAACCAGAUGUGAUUCUGCCCUUCCAGAAGCAAAGAGGCUUAUGUCAACCCAUGUGAUCGAUGCCAGUCACGGCGAGGAGUGACUGUGGAAAUUAAUGGAUUUUCAACAUCCAAUCACAGAGGAAAUGUGUAUAUUUAGCAAGCCUAAAACCUCUUCAAUAAACUGCGUUGCUUUUCAUUUUCACUUUCCAGUUAUAAAACCAGUGGAAGAUGAAAAGCCCACGUGACAAUACAGCGUUCACUCCCGGGAACAUUUGUGUGACAGGGAUAUUAUAUCUGAAAGGACGGGGCAGCUGGGAGGGUGGACUGCCCAUAACUCUCAAUUGUCCAGGUGAUGAAGCACUGGGAAAGCAAAGGCAAAUGAAAUAAUUUGAUAAUAAAAAAUGAUUUCUCUGUUAGUGACCUGA